rnacentral:rRNA from 1 species
UUCGCCUCAACCAGAGAAAGCAUAGACAUCUGGAUAACUUGAUGCAGAGGAGGGUAGUGGAACUCCAUGUGUAGCGGAGGAAUGCGUAGAUAUAUGGAAGCACAGCAGUGGCGAAGGCGGCUACCUGGUCAGCAACUGACGCUGAGACUAGAAAGCAUGGGUAGCGAACAGGAUUAGAUACCCUGGUAGUCCAUGCCGUAAACGAUGAGUGCUAGGUGUUGGAGGGUUUCCGCCCUUCAGUGCCGGAGCUAACGCAUUAAGCACUCCGCCUGGGGAGUACGACCGCAAGGUUGAAACUCAAAGGAAUUGACGGGGGCCCGCACAAGCGGUGGAGCAUGUGGUUUAAUGAACCUUACCAGGUCUUGACAUCUUGCGCCAACCCUAGAGAUAGGGCGUUUCCUUCGGGAACGCAAUGACAGGUGGUGCAUGGUCGUCGUCAGCUCGUGUCGUGAGAUGUUGGGUUAAGUCCCGCAACGAGCGCAACCCUUGUUACUAGUUGCCAGCAUUAAGUUGGGCACUCUAGUGAGACUGCCGGUGACAAACCGGAGGAAGGUGGGGACGACGUCAGAUCAUCAUGCCCCUUAUGACCUGGGCUACACACGUGCUACAAUGGACGGUACAACGAGUCGCGAACUCGCGAGGGCAAGCAAAUCUCUUAAAACCGUUCUCAGUUCGGACUGCAGGCUGCAACUCGCCUGCACGAAGUCGGAAUCGCUAGUAAUCGCGGAUCAGCAUGCCGCGGUGAAUACGUUCCCGGGCCUUGUACACACCGCCCGUCACACCAUGAGAGUUUGUAACACCCAAAGUCGGUGGGGUAACCUUUUAGGAGCCAGCCGCC